GAUGAACGCUGGCGGCGUGCCUAAUACAUGCAAGUCGAACGCUUCACUUCGGUGAAGAGUGGCGAACGGGUGAGUAAUACAUAAGUAACCUGGCAUCUACAGGGGGAUAACUGAUGGAAACGUCAGCUCGGACCGCAUAGGUGUAGAGAUCGCAUGAACUCUAUAUGAAAAGUGCUACGGGACUGGUAGAUGAUGGACUUAUGGCGCAUUAGCUGGUUGGUAGGGUAACGGCCUACCAAGGAGACGAUGCGUAGCCGACCUGAGAGGGUGACCGGCCACACUGGGACUGAGACACGGCCCAGACUCCUACGGGAGGCAGCAGUAGGGAAUUUUCGGCAAUGGGGGAAACCCUGACCGAGCAACGCCGCGUGAAGGAAGAAGUAAUUCGUUAUGUAAACUUCUGUCAUAGAGGAAGAACGGUGGAUAUAGGGAAUGAUAUCCAAGUGACGGUACUCUAUAAGAAAGCCACGGCUAACUACGUGCCAGCAGCCGCAGUAA
rnacentral:rRNA from 1 species